rnacentral:rRNA from 1 species
AGUACGAUGCCGUAGACCCGAAACCGGGUGAUCUACCCAUGUCCAGGGUGAAGGUCGGGUAACACCGACUGGAGGCCCGAACCCACGCAAGUUGAAAAUUGCGGGGAUGAGGUGUGGGUAGGGGUGAAAUGCCAAUCGAACUCGGAAAUAGCUGGUUCUCCCCGAAAUAGCUUUAGGGCUAGCCUCGAGUGAUGAGUCUUGGAGGUAGAGCACUGAUUGGACGAGGGGUCCCCACAGGAUUACCGAAUUCAGUCAAACUCCGAAUGCCAAUGACUUUAACUCGGGAGUCAGACUGCGAGUGCUAAGAUCCGUAGUCAAGAGGGAAACAGCCCAGACCAUCAGCUAAGGUCCCCAAGUAUACGUUAAGUGGAAAAGGAUGUGGAGUUGCCCAGACAACCAGGAUGUUGGCUUAGAAGCAGCCAUCAUUGAAAGAGUGCGUAAUAGCUCACUGGUCGAGUGACUCUGCGCCGAAAAUGUACCGGGGCUAAACGUAUCACCGAAGCUAUGGCAAUCCCGUAUGGGAUUGGGUAGGGGAGCGUUCCAAGGACAGCGAAGCCAGAUCGUGAGGACUGGUGGAGUGCUUGGAAGUGAGAAUGCCGGUAUGAGUAGCGAAAAGAUAGGUGAGAAUCCUAUCCGUCGAAAGCCCAAGGUUUCCUGAGGAAGGCUCGUCCGCUCAGGGUUAGUCGGGACCUAAGCCGAGGCCGAAAGGCGUAGGCGAUGGACAACAGGUUGAUAUUCCUGUACCACCUCGUAUUCGUUUGAACGAUGGGGGGACGCAGAAAGGUAGGGUGAGCGCGCCGCUGGCUGUGCGCGUCGAAGCAUGCGAGGCUGGAACAUAGGCAAAUCCGUGUUCCGUAAGGCUGAGCUGUGACCGUGAAGGACCUUCGGGUCCGAAAUCCCUGAUCCUCCGCUGCCGAGAAAAGCCUCUAGUGAGAAUACAGGUGCCCGUACCGCAAACCGACACAGGUAGGCGAGAAGAGAAUUCUAAGACGCUCGGGAGAACUCUCGUUAAGGAACUCGGCAAAAUGACCCCGUAACUUCGGGAGAAGGGGUGCUCUAGUAGGGUUAACCGCCCGAGAGAGCCGCAGUGAAAGGAUCCAAGCGACUGUUUAGCAAAAACACAGGUCUCUGCGAAGCCGUAAGGCGAAGUAUAGGGGCUGACACCUGCCCGGUGCUGGAAGGUUAAGAGGAAGGGUCAUCCCAAAUGGUGAGAAGCUCUGAAUUGAAGCCCCAGUAAACGGCGGCCGUAACUAUAACGGUCCUAAGGUAGCGAAAUUCCUUGUCGGGUAAGUUCCGACCCGCACGAAUGGUGCAACGACUUGGAUACUGUCUCAACGAGAGACCCGGUGAAAUUAUAGUACCUGUGAAGAUGCAGGUUACCCGCGACAGGACGGAAAGACCCCAUGGAGCUUUACUGUAGCUUGAUAGUGAGUGUUGGUAUCAUCUGUACAGGAUAGGUAGGAGCCUUGGAAACCGGAGCGCUAGCUUCGGUGGAGGCGUCGGUGGGAUACUACCCUGAUGGUGCUGGCAUUCUAACCUCGACCCGUGAUCCGGGCCAGGGACAUUGUCAGGUGGGCAGUUUGACUGGGGCGGUCGCCUCCUAAACAGUAACGGAGGCGCCCAAAGGUUCCCUCAGAAUGGUUGGAAAUCAUUCGUAGAGUGCAAAGGCAGAAGGGAGCUUGACUGCGAGACCUACAAGUCGAGCAGGGACGAAAGUCGGGCUUAGUGAUCCGGCGGUGCCGUAUGGAAGGGCCGUCGCUCAACGGAUAAAAGCUACCCUGGGGAUAACAGGCUUAUCUCCCCCAAGAGUCCACAUCGACGGGGAGGUUUGGCACCUCGAUGUCGGCUCGUCGCAUCCUGGGGCUGAAGUAGGUCCCAAGGGUUGGGCUGUUCGCCCAUUAAAGCGGCACGCGAGCUGGGUUCAGAACGUCGUGAGACAGUUCGGUCCCUAUCCGUCGCGGGCGUAGGAAAUUUGAGAGGAGCUGUCCUUAGUACGAGAGGACCGGGAUGGACAUACCGCUGGUGUACCAGUUGUUCCGCCAGGAGCAUCGCUGGGUAGCUACGUAUGGACGGGAUAAGUGCUGAAAGCAUCUAAGCAUGAAGCCCCCCUCAAGAUGAGAUUUCCCAUGGCGUAAGCCAGUAAGACCCCUUAGAGAUGAUGAGGUUGAUAGGUCAGAAGUGGAAGCGUGGCGACACGUGGAGCGGACUGAUACUAAUCGGUCGAGGACUUAUCCUA